rnacentral:pre_miRNA from 1 species
UUCUCUCUUACAUGCCUUGAGUGUAGGACCGUUGUCAUCUUAAUUACCCUCCCACACCCAAGGCUUGCAGGAGGGCAAG